UCGAACGAAGCACUUGAAUGGAAUUCUUCGGAAGGAAGCUCAAGUGACUGAGUGGCGGACGGGUGAGUAACGCGUGGGUAACCUGCCUCAUACAGGGGGAUAACAGUUAGAAAUGACUGCUAAUACCGCAUAAGCACACGUGACCGCAUGAUCGAGUGUGAAAAACUCCGGUGGUAUGAGAUGGACCCGCGUCUGAUUAGCUGGUUGGUGGGGUAACGGCCCACCAAGGCGACGAUCAGUAGCCGGCCUGAGAGGGUGAACGGCCACAUUGGGACUGAGACACGGCCCAAACUCCUACGGGAGGCAGCAGUGGGGAAUAUUGCACAAUGGGGGAAACCCUGAUGCAGCGACGCCGCGUGAAGGAUGAAGUAUUUCGGUAUGUAAACUUCUAUCAGCAGGGAAGAAAAUGACGGUACCUGACUAAGAAGCCCCGGCUAACUACGUGCCAGCAGCCGCGGUAAUACGUAGGGGGCAAGCGUUAUCCGGAUUUACUGGGUGUAAAGGGAGCGUAGACGGCAGUGCAAGUCUGAAGUGAAAGCCCGGGGCUCAACCCCGGGACUGCUUUGGAAACUGUGCAGCUAGAGUGUCGGAGAGGCAAGCGGAAUUCCUAGUGUAGCGGUGAAAUGCGUAGAUAUUAGGAGGAACACCAGUGGCGA
rnacentral:rRNA from 1 species